AGCGAACGCUGGCGGCAGGCCUAACACAUGCAAGUCGAACGGCAGCACAGUAAGAGCUUGCUCUUACGGGUGGCGAGUGGCGGACGGGUGAGGAAUACAUCGGAAUCUACUUUUUCGUGGGGGAUAACGUAGGGAAACUUACGCUAAUACCGCAUACGACCUACGGGUGAAAGCAGGGGAUCUUCGGACCUUGCGCGAUUGAAUGAGCCGAUGUCGAAUUAGCUAGUUGGCGGGGUAAAGGCCCACCACGGCGACGAUCCGUAGCGGGUCUGAGAGGAUGAUCAGCCACACUGGAACUGAGACACGGUCCAGACUCCUACGGGAGGCAGCAGUGGGGAAUAUUGGACAAUGGGCGAAAGCCUGAUCCAGCCAUACCGCGUGGGUGAAGAAGGACUUCGGGUGGUAAAGCCCUUUUGUUGGGAAAGAAGAGCAGCAGGUUAAAACGCCGCUGUACUGACGGUACCCAAAGAAUAAGCACCGGCUAACUUCGUG
rnacentral:rRNA from 1 species